UCUGUGCCACGCUCCAUGGAGGCACCAAGGAGAAGGCCUGGGAAGGGAAGAGUGAGCCUUCCCUGGUGGAGGGGCCCCUCCUCAGGCAGUGGGGAGACCACCUUUUGCAUGCAACAGGACUUACCAGUUACUAUUGGCACCGGAACCACCAUCUGAGAUACAUGAGAAAACAGAAAUGGAACUAAAGGAAGGGAGUUCCACAACUGUGGAGCAACAACCACCACUGAAGCCUGAGAUCUCUGCUGAGCUCGCUGUGCCUAAGUCCCCCGGCAGGAAACCUUCCCCGAGGCAAAACACCUGAUCGGUCUGAACCAAUUACUUCCCAUCUUUGGAUUAAUAAACUUAGAUAUGGUUCCUUCUAACUCUAAAAAAGGAAAAAGAAGAAACAGGACAAGAAGCCUAGAUGGUGAAAAAACGAAGUAGGUCAGCUAUAGAAACACCAAGUGCUCACAGGAUUGCAUUUUACAUGAUUCAAGACUGUCUAAAUUUCAAGGCAGUUAAAAAGGCAUCACUAGCCUAAUCACAUUAGCUCUUCAAUCAAGUAAGGUAAUCAAGGAGAACCUGCCCCUACUAUACAAUCUUAUACAUAAAAUGCAACAUCCUUAAGUGCCACCAAAGAUCAUUCUUUUCUAUGGAGACCCUACUGUGGAACGUACAAGGUACCACUCAUUGGGUGGCUGCUCAUCCUAUGUAUGUAAGGGGAUAGAAGCCAGUUUCUGAGACCAGGAUGACAAACCUGACUCUGUAAAAUGACCAUGAGAACACUCUAUCUGACUUUUCUACAUCAGCAAACCACCCCCACAGAGACUGUUGCCCUUACCUCUAUACAGGUUUGCAAAGUAAACCUUCAUAGCUGCUUGGUAGAGGACAGCACUCCCAUCCUACCAUCAGCAUGUCCACUUGUACCGCUCAGCUACAUUAGGGCAAAACUGUUCCUGUGAAGUGGGGUCAUUCUUUUCCUACCACUGAACAUUCCAAAUGCUGCUCUCAAAGCCUAAGUCCUCUGAGUUUCCCAUGUCCCCCAUCAACCAAUACAACCAUAAAGAUUCUGGACACUGGUGAGAAAAUGAAGAGGUAAGAAUAUUAAAAUAAAAUCUUCUCAUUUUGACGGUGAAGAUGUCGGCAUUAUUUAUAGCUCAGUGGUAUGACUCUUUGAGAUGUAUAUAUUGCUAAUAUUAGCUAACUAGACAAGGGCAAGUACACACAGUCCUUCAUCAGUCCUAAUGGAAGUAUCCCUUCAUGGAAAUUCCCUGGUUUAUAGAGUUCUUAUGGAACCCUUAACUUAAAUUUCCUUCCACACUCUGGCAAAAAUACAGCAUGAAAUCAAAACUCUGGUAUUCAUUCAUCCGGAGUCUGAAGGAUGACCUGUAAGGCACCCACUGGUUACACAAAUGAGCUGAAGCAAAACACAAUUUAACAAUGGGCAAAGUCAACUUACUUGUUCAUUUUUAGUAAGCCUGGUUUUGUUGUGAA